AUACUCCGAGCAGGCAACAACCAAUUUGUUGGCCUCUGAAUUGGCUUAGCUGUGGCCGAAGCUGCUCUGGAGGAGGCUCUAGAGACCUGUACAGCAAAGCCUGGGAGCCUUCUCCUGGAGCAGGGCAGCUCUUUCUGGCCGGUCAGGAGGACUGCUGGGCCUAGUGUUUAACCAGCUGAAGAGCCUUAGGGACUGGGAAUACACUUCGUUUUACUACAGAAAACAUACCUUGUUUGGUGUUCACUGAAGACUGGAUUCAUGGAAAACUGAAAAAGAAUAAAAUGAUGCUUUGUGCACAGGAAUACAAUUAAGUCA